AGAAAGAAAACGGAAAAAAUCACCUGGUACGAAAAAGACAAUGUCAUUAAGGGAUAAAAUAUAUAUUUAAACGUAAUUAUCUAGGAAACUUUAUUGUUUAAUUUAAAGGAACAAAGCACAUGCAAAUAAUUAGAAUAUAUUUAAUAUAUAACGACUUGGUUGCAGGGAAUUCAGUCUGGACGACUCAUAGUUUAUCAACUAUAACAUUUACAUGGCUGGUGCACAUCAGAAAGUUGUAAGGCAUUUUCCCCUGUGGCUCAACCUGGAGUUAAGUUCGAAAAAAAAUAAUGACUUGCAUCAAUAGUUACCACAAUUAGAAUCCGAACAGUUGACAAUUCUCUGACACCCGGGCAUGAUAACAUGAAACAUUUGUAAUUGAUAUUGUACUCAUUUUACUACAAUAAAGGCUAAAUGGGAAAAGACCACAUCCACAAAACGAGCCAAAACAAAAACGAGGAGAGGAACAGGUCGAAUAUUUCAGGCCAAUGACCUGACAUUAGAAAUCAAAACUGAUAAAAGGUCACUGACCCAAAACGUUAUGUGUAAUUGUCAUUGACCUCCAUCAGCUGCGGGGUGGGAAGAAACAAUUGCUAUAUUUUAUUUUCACAUGGUUUUAAAUUCAGGGUUUUGUCUUUGGUCAUGAGAAGAAUUACAACUAUUUGGGAAGUGGUACAAAUGUUGUUGUAAAGUGGUGCCUGAAUUGUCAUUUCUUUCCUUCAAAGCUGGAUAUUCUUUGUGUACACAUGUUGUCUAUGUUACUUCUAAGGCUAAACACAAAUCCAAGUCAUUGCUCCUGUGUUAUGUAAAAAAGUGUUCUUUUUUUUACUU